rfam:Bacillus sp. SGD-V-76 genomic scaffold Scaffold38, whole genome shotgun sequence.
GCUGGCGUAGCUCAGUAGGUAGAGCACUUGCAUGGUAAGCAAGAGGUCGCAGGUUCAAUCCCUGUCGCUAGCA